CCUAAGGUAGCGAAAUUCCUUGUCGGGUAAGUUCCGACCUGCACGAAUGGCGUAAUGAUGGCCAGGCUGUCUCCACCCGAGACUCAGUGAAAUUGAACUCGCUGUGAAGAUGCAGUGUACCCGCGGCAAGACGGAAAGACCCCGUGAACCUUUACUAUAGCUUGACACUGAACAUUGAGCCUUGAUGUGUAGGAUAGGUGGGAGGCUUUGAAGUGUGGACGCCAGUCUGCAUGGAGCCGACCUUGAAAUACCACCCUUUAAUGUUUGAUGUUCUAACGUAGGCCCCUUAUCGGGGUUGCGGACAGUGUCUGGUGGGUAGUUUGACUGGGGCGGUCUCCUCCUAAAGAGUAACGGAGGAGCACGAAGGUUGGCUAAUCCUGGUCGGACAUCAGGAGGUUAGUGCAAUGGCAUAAGCCAGCUUGACUGCGAGCGUGACGGCGCGAGCAGGUGCGAAAGCAGGUCAUAGUGAUCCGGUGGUUCUGAAUGGAAGGGCCAUCGCUCAACGGAUAAAAGGUACUCCGGGGAUAACAGGCUGAUACCGCCCAAGAGUUCAUAUCGACGGCGGUGUUUGGCACCUCGAUGUCGGCUCAUCACAUCCUGGGGCUGAAGUAGGUCCCAAGGGUAUGGCUGUUCGCCAUUUAAAGUGGUACGCGAGCUGGGUUUAGAACGUCGUGAGACAGUUCGGUCCCUAUCUGCCGUGGGCGCUGGAGAACUGAGGGGGGCUGCUCCUAGUACGAGAGGACCGGAGUGGACGCAUCACUGGUGUUCGGGUUGUCAUGCCAAUGGCACUGCCCGGUAGCUAAAUGCGGAAGAGAUAAGUGCUGAAAGCAUCUAAGCACGAAACUUGCCCCGAGAUGAGUUCUCCCUGACCCUUUAAGGGUCCUGAAGGAACGUUGAAGACGACGACGUUGAUAGGCCGGGUGUGUAAGCGCAGCGAUGCGUUGAGCUAACCGGUACUAAUGAACCGUGAGG
rnacentral:rRNA from 1 species